AAAAACAUAUUUGGGAGGAAGGAAGGGGGAAGGAAAAAAGAAAGCGAUGCACAAAAACGCAUUUGAAAACUACAGCUACUUCCCUGGAAAAGAUCAUUCUUCUCAGGGCUGCUGUUUCAAUAGAGCUCUGUUCUUGGCCUCGUCAUUUAAGUUCCCCAUUUAAUUUAUAUAUAAAAAAUUCAACAGGUUUAAUGUUCCAGUUUCUCAUUCUUUUAAUUAAAAUGGAAAAUAUGUCCCUUUGUGUACUUCUUCAAGUACUGAAGAUUUGAGCUAGCUAAGACAGCUGUAAAUAAGUUUUUGCAGAACUUUGUGUUCCUGUGUUGUUUCUUAAGAUACACUGGACAAAAGAGAGAUGAUAAACUUUUUUGAACUGGACGUUGAAUUUAUUAGAAGCAUGAUGAACAAUAAUAAACUUUAUUUUACCGAGGCA